UGGGAUAUAGCUCAGUUGGUAGAGUGCUUGCCUUGCAUGCACAAAGCCCUGGGUUCAAUCCCUGGUACCACAA
rnacentral:tRNA from 1 species